CGCGCAGGCGGUCGAUCAAGUCGAGUGUGAAAGCCCCCGGCUCAACUGGGGAGGGUCAUUCGAUACUGAUCGACUCGAAGGCAGGAGAGGGUAGUGGAAUUCCCGGUGUAGUGGUGAAAUGCGUAGAUAUCGGGAGGAACACCAGUGGCGAAGGCGACUACCUGGCCUGUUCUUGACGCUGAGGCGCGAAAGCUAGGGGAGCAAACG
rnacentral:rRNA from 1 species